UGGACGGUCAGUCUCCUGUAUAAAACUAUCUUCCUGGAGUAGAAUUCUCAGUUAAGAACGAUCUAUCAGACUAGAAACAUCUAGACAUUUAAAUAAUCCAAGAUGCACAACGUAGCAAUUGCCGCAGUGAGAACCACUAUUGAUGUCUGUGAUCUUGUGCUCGUUUCAAUCUCAAGAACGAGAGCGCUGACAGACAAGGUGAGAAAAACCUCGGAAGAGAGUAUAAAUAAAUUAAAUACGAAAAUAUGCAGACAAAGAAAAAUUUCCAAAACCAACCAGGGAAAAGCGCAUUUAUAACUAUUGUAGAGAUUAUUUAAUAUUUGUAAACUUUAUAUUUUAUAUUUAUUGUAAUAUGUAUUGAAGCAAAGCCAGGUUUUGAAAAAUGAUUUUAAGAAAUCUUUAAAAGAAUAUUAAUUGAAAAGUUUUCUAUUAAAGAUUUCGAUAAUUCUUUCAAAUUGUUUUCAAAACUGAGUUUCGUGGAUUUUGUCAAAACUUUCUGGUUUUAGUUUAGUUUAAGAAGAGAGCUGCUAAUUGCACCUGAUUGUUGUAACAUUGGACACCUGGUCCAAAACCUUGUACCUUAAUAUUCUUGCUCAAAAGCAGUUCUCAAUCCUAACUGUAUAUGUAUAUGUAAUAUAAACCAGAAAAUAAAUUGAAUGUCAUCAAA